CAUUUAAGUUGAUGGCUUCCAGCACAGUGUGCUUGGCGAGAAGACUGACCUCAUAUUAAGCUCUAGAAUUAAUAAACAGAACUGCACAGCUAGCUAUCCGCCAAAGCCACCCAGUGCUGACACCAUUUGAACUAUGUUCCUGUUAAGAUAAGAUGUGAAGUUUUGCCAACUCUGAUAAGAAAUGUGCCUGCUACAAACACUGUAAUACCCCACUCUCAGGCAGCCUCUGAGGCGUGAACAACACUCCCACACUGAUCCAGAACAACCACAGAAAAGACACCUUUAAAACAGCCAACUUCCAUGGGAUUUAUUAACAUUGAAACAAAAAUACACUACACAACUACCAAGAUACUAAGUUAAGACUACCAAAGCCACUAAGUUCAAGCAUAACAACAGUAACAAAUCCCAGGCUGAGAGGCCAAUAAAAGCAGUCCUCGACUAAAGAAAACCCUCCACUUCAAAUGCUGGCAAAGGUGCUUUUACAAACACUUCCUCCAAGGCCAGGUGCACCUCAUUGAGCAAUCACAAUGUGUAACACCUGGUCAAAGGUAGAAGACAGGAGGAGGGAAGGGACAAACGGUGCAAAGGAGCUCAUACAGCCGCAACAGACGGCUCAUCAAAAGCCUUUUCAACAUGAAAAACAUUCUGCCUGGAAUGAGAACUGCGAGGAACUGAGGCAGAGACAAAGCUGCUGGAGUGAUUGCCUGGGGUGAAAGUAAGCACCAAAGUCACCAGGGACAGUUUCACAGUGAAGUAUCCCACAUCAAGACAGGAACAAACUGCAGUGUCAUCUGAUGAGCCUGAGAUGAUUCAGCAGAGCUGGAACAGUGUUUCCCCGGGGGAUUUUUCCCAGCAGCGAGCGCUGACGAUGAACUGAGACGUCCCACAGCCUGAGGAGAGGAACUGCGCUGUAGUCUGAUGGUACAGCAGCAGAAGGCAGCAGAACAUAACACUGUAUGGUUGCCCUGUUGCUGAGCGGUUUCCUGCUGUCAGCCUAUUAUUAUAAAGGCCUAAUGCUGCAAGGGAAUGCUAAUAACUUUAGGUCAACAUUACAGAGAAACCAAAACAGUUAGCUGUAAGCGACAUGUAGCUCAGCUGUAAAAUAAAGUUUACUUACAUAGAUAAUUACCUCAUCGCGGCGCAUCCUGCAGACAGGAUAUAAAACUGGAUGUAAAAUGUCUUUGGUUGACUUGCUUCCCAAACAAAUGCACAUGCGAGCCAGAUCCUUACAGGAGGUGGUGCUGCUCACACUGCAUUUGUCGCCAUGAGAAUCAACAAACAUCAAAGUCCCACGUAGCUGCUGAGUAAAAGAGCACGUCUUUCAAGUUCCACAUCUACUGUGUGUGUGUGUGUGUGUGUGUGAGUCCAGAUUUCUGACACACACAAUAACAUACUGCACUUUAUACACAUAUUCUGUACAUUAUGUAGUCUCCAAGGCCAAAGUAAGAUAACAAAGGUUCCAUCAUCAGCUGCUGUUUUCUCUGGCUUAGCAAAGCUCUAAUAGAAGUCCACAGAUUAUUAAUUAAACAACAGAUUUUACAGGCUGUGUAACGCCCACACUGUCGAGUGGACAGACCUUCACGUGUUAAAUCUACGGUGUUCCCCUCUAAUAUCGGGAAAAUGUUAAGGUCAGGGAGUUUUUUCUCCACAAAAUGUGUAGAAAGCGGCUAUGAGCAAUGACAGAUAUCAUCUCAACUUUCAUCUUUCACCCACAUGUUUUCAAGAGUUUUACAUAUUAAUGCCGGAGAGCGUGGUAGCUGUUUCACGCACACACAGUAGACCGAAGCUCUGUCUCCAAAGCAUCGAAAUAAAUAAAUAAAAGCUUGCAUAAAAUCACUUGAAUUCUGAAUGAGAUAUUGAUGGACUCUAUUAACCCAAAAUAGAACCCACAGUGAAAAUGAAGGGGCUACUUAUGGUU